CGAACCCGGAAGCUAAGGCCCACAGCGCCGAUGGUACUGCAACCGGGAGGUUGUGGGAGAGUAGGUCGCCGCCGGAC
rnacentral:rRNA from 2 species